rnacentral:rRNA from 1 species
UACGGAGGGUGCGAGCGUUGUCCGGAAUCACUGGGCGUAAAGGGCGCGUAGGCGGCCUUCUAAGUCGAACGUGAAAUCCCUGGGCUCAACCCAGGAACUGCGUCCGAUACUGGAAGGCUUGAAUCCGGGAGAGGGAUGCGGAAUUCCAGGUGUAGCGGUGAAAUGCGUAGAUAUCUGGAGGAACACCGGUGGCGAAGGCGGCAUCCUGGACCGGUAUUGACGCUGAGGCGCGAAAGCCAGGGGAGCAAACGGG